UGUGUGUGCGUUGGAAGGUCUGCUGCGACUAGUCUGUUAGACGAUCUUGUUAAAAACUAUCGUUUCAUUUCGUUUCCUCUGGUACGUGUGUUCCCUAAAGGUCGCUAUGGAUAUUCUGCCUCUUCAAUUUGGUGGAUUUAGUGACUUUAGUGACUGCUGGGCAUUCUUAAGGAGUGUCAUUUAUCAGAUUUAUUUGUAUUGGACAAAGGGGAAAAGCUUCUCUUCAAAUGAGGCAGCCAGGUUAAUUUGGCUGUUUUAAAAAGGAGGAGUACUUUUGGCUGUUGACUGGGCAAACACUUUCUUUUCCUGUUGUAUUCUUUUCUUUUUUGUAUUUCUUUACAUCGUUGUACACUAAAAUAUAACUGAAUUAUACGCUCCUGUUUUAAUAAGUUUGAUCUCCCUCUCCUUGGGUUUGCGCUGUGGGUUUGUGUAGGAAUUGAGUUUUUGUGUAUUGGUGUUUGUAUUAUUUGUUUAUUCUUUGGAUUUGAGGUGUGGUUGAAAUAUUUUUCAUACAGGUUUAAUUUUGAUGUGAUUUUUAUUGUUUAUUUUUUAUUAAUGCUAGAACUCCUUCCUUUAUGCCCAGUGGGUGUUUAAAUCUGAACCAAUGGGGGGGAGCUGCUGACAGUCUUUGUAUAUGUGGAGCUUGUA